UGUAGUACCACUUAAGGUCUAUUGGAGCGUUCUAAACGUGUUAUAAUCAAGGUGGGAGUGUUAAAAAGGGUUAACUCGAAGUGUAAGAAUCAAAACCGGGCCAAACACUCCAACACAUGGAGUGUGCAGCUACACACUUGAGUGUGCGGCCACACACAUGUGUUUGCGGUCUCACACCCUUCCCAACCGCACACUCCACCUAUAUAUACCACACUUAGUCAUUUUUGAACACUUCUUUCACUUCUUCAAGCACAGAACUCGAAAAUCCUCUCAAGUAUCAUCCGCCGCACACAUGGCCGCACACAUGGCAGAACUCGAAGAUCUUCAUAAAAGGUACCAAGAACACCAUCUGGCUGCACACAUGGCAGCACACAUGGCCGCACACAUGUGCUGGCAGCACACAAGGCCGCACACCUGGCUGCACACACACAUAGAGUGUGUAUUUUGGCCAUACACUCCAUCGUAAAGCCUUAUAUCCCCUUCAUACAAUCAUAUAUGGUUGUAACACUUCAUUAUAAGUGUUUACUAGUCCCUAAGGUGGUCCCAAUUCAUUAAUUAGAUGUUCAUAACACUAAUUAUAUUCAUAUAUGUGUCAAUAUAUGCUAAAUAGGAUUCGCGUGUGUACUCAAGUCACCACUUGAUACUUAGCAACUGAUCCAACAUUUUCGUCAGAACCACUCACUACAGGUGAGUUCAUACCCCCUAAUCAAUGAUUAUAACUAUUUUGAAUGUUUUAUGGGGGGAUACAAGUAGAAUCAUGCUACUUAUUAUAUCAAUCACAUGUGAUUAAUAAACAGCAUUUAAAUGAUUUACCACUUAUUAGCCGUUUUACCAAACAGUUUCCUUCAAAUGAUGUUCAUAAACAUUUUAUAUGUUUUAAAACUCCUUAUUACACUGUACUUUUUACUCUGUAUAUUACAUUUCAACUUAUUUACAACUGUGUUUCAAACAAAUGUUUCCUUAUACUUAAACCGUUUUAUCAAACUUAUGCCUUCAAAUUGUUUUAUAGGUUGACAUCAAGUCAAUCAUUUCUGCAAAUAAUAUUCAUGUUCAAAUGUUUUACAAAACUUAUUUAUGCUUUUAUAUUAUAAAUUGCAUGCCUCUAUAUGUAUAGUUAUAUAAGAAAUAUUUAAAAGACUUAGGAAGGCUAUCCACUCUAUAUCCUUUUCGCGCUUGAGUUGUGGUCUGGUGGGAUAUCGGGUCCUCGUCCGAAAGGCGUUUAAAUAUUAGUUAUAUAUCAUGUGUACAUAUAUAGUCAUAAAAGGUCCUUCCAGUUCAUCGCAUGCCCUUGGGUAGCAAGGGUAUACAUCCAUGUCCAUACGUACCAGUUAGACUACUAGUAAACUACCAUAUGGGUAGUUUAGGAAGAUACUAGAACAAUUACUAGAACACGAUAUCAUACAAAUGAGUCAGUUCAUUCAUGAGUCUAUACAUUACAUUACUAUGAGAACAUAUACAACUAUACUAGAAAGAGAACAUAUACAACUAUACUAGAAAGAGAACAUAUACAACUAUACUAGAAAGAGAACAUAUACAACUAUACUAGAACGAGAAACAUUACCCUUACAUUAAUACGUUAACAAUUGUGAUCCACUGUAUCGGAGCAUGCCUUAAAUGUCAUGGCCCGAGUUGUAGCCAGAAUUCUCUUGGAGGGAGAGCGUUGAGUUUGCGUAUAGAUCUAUACUGGAUUGACAAUCCUACACCUUGCUGCUAGCUACAGCCGGACCUGCAGGUCUGCGGGUGCCAAACGUCAUUCCGUUAUUACGACCGUUCUUUAUGUCGUUGUUACCAGUCGAUAGUAUGGUGCAAUUUAUCACAUAAUGCCUUAGCCUAAAAUCCGGUUUAAGGUAGUUAGUACGGUAGUAGUCCUUUUAGAGCUACGUUUUAGUACUACGUUAAUUUUUCCAUUACAUAUUUUUAGUGAUAACCUCACUUAAACAUAAAUGUACAAACUAUAUUUUUGGAUAAUGAUAGUUAUACUUUGGAAAAAUACAUACUCUUACAAGAGACACACACACAGAACAGUUAGGUCUUGGUAGAAGACACCUUCAUAUACUAGAAGGAAUCAUAGGGAUUCUAGGGUUUUUCAAACACUUACAAUUCAUAUACACUUUCAAAUUCUUACAAUACAUAUACUUACAAAUUCUUACAUACAAAUUAAGACACUAAAUACUUAUGAUCUCACCAGCUUCAAAGCUGAUACUCGCUUUCAAAAUUACUUGUAUCCUCAGGUCAUCAUAGACAGGUACCGAUGCAAGGAGAAAGGAAGAUGGAGCUUGUUCAAGACUUAUCUUUCAUUUUGAUUUAUGCUUUAGUGUUUAUCAAAAUUUGACAGAAUACAAUUGUAUAAUAAUUAUUUUAUUAAUGCAAUGGAUGAUGUUGUUGCUUGUUUACUACUUUACAUUGUUGUUGAUAUUAUACAUGACGUCCUCCGCCCCAGAACGUUUCCGCCGUUCUUGGUUUUGGGGUGUGACAGAUUGGUAUCAGAGCAUUGUUUAUAGUGAAUUAAGUAUAUCAACCCAUAAAAGAUAUACUAACUAUAAAUACAUAAGGGAUUAAAAAUACUCUGACCAAGAGUUUAUACUUUAAAUAAUAAAAUAUUUAAGUAAGUAUACGUGCUGCAUUCAUACUAAAAUCAGUGUCACUAGGACAGUACAAAAGAAUUACGAUUGUUGGGCAACACAAGUGGGCUUAGAGACAUAUGGUCAAAACUGGGAAGAUAUAGCCUGAUCACCUAUAUUAUCCGAGGGUUGACUAGCAUGUGCCUAAGUUUAAUUGUGUGGUUGCAACAAUGCUAAAAUCUUACCAACCCUACCACAAUGAGAACAAUAGAACAUAACAUUAAAAUUUAAAAUACUAUAGGAGUAUUUGGUGUUACUAUAAGUACUUUAUACUUGAGAACUAAAACGGGAUCUUCAUUACUAAGUUGAUAGUUGCUAAGUGGAUACACUAAGGCUAUAUGUAAUUAGGAUGUUAUAGACUUAGAAUCUGUGAAAAUUUUGCCUUACCCCUAUUCUGUGUGAAUUUGGAAUUAAGGUCACUUAUUCGAAGGUCUAUCCUGUUUAGAUUACACAUAACUGGUAUGCACUUCACAAAUAGCGAUGUAACUGAUUAAGGUUUUCUAAAUAAUUAUUUAGAUAGUUCGUCUAAUAAUUAUUCUCUUAUCCUAAAUUCUCGCAUAGAAAACAUAGCUGGACUCCAUCCCCUCGGCAACCAGUAUCUUCCGAAUGGAGUCAUUGCUGGAUGGUUUGGAGAAGAACCAGAGAAUGAUCAUCCUGUUCCCCUUGAAUGAUCACCAUGAUGAAGACCUUUCGUAUGAUGCUAACUCCGAACCAGAGGUUGAGAACCUACCCAGAGCAGCUCCCUUUCCAAUUCUUAACCCUCGUCCGGCUUUUCAAGGCCCGACCCCUGAGUGGGUGGAAUACUUGGAAACAAGGAGCCAAGGACAAGAUCAGCCCAUGCCAUUUAAUGGCGACCGAAGCUUUUACGACUUGAGCAAUGGGGGCUCAGCAGAUAGAAUCUUGCCAAUCUUGGUCUGCAGAGUGGCCCGAAACGAGAUUCAAGGCAGGACAGCCCUGCAUCAGAUCACUGAAGUUGUCGCCAAUAUGAGAAUGCAUUCCCUCCGCACCAUUCUUCUAGAAGAUGCUCACGAGAGAUCAGAGAGAAACCAUGAGACCCUGCUUCAAGUACUAGCUAAAUCACGAGCCGAAGUCAUGGAGCUCCGAGUACGCCUUAGGGUGUACGGAAGACACCUACUUGACUUGGAACGUCAAUUGGCUGAACUAAGAGUUCACCAGAGGGAUGACCGUCGCCAGUAGUAGACGCUUUACUUUAUUGUCCUUGUUAGAAGGAAUCGUAUUUCUGUCUAUGCCCGAUGUGGCAUUUUCUAUGAAAUUAUCUUGUACCGUAAGUACUUUAGUUAGGUCUUUAUGCUGUCAGGAACUAUCUUCUGUGGAUAUGAUGUAAGACCUUUACAAGGUCAUUUUUCAGAAUCUUUACAUCGUUAAUAUCAAAGAUAUUGACAGCCGACUAACUUCUGUGUCAUUUCCUUUAUUCAAGUACUUUUAUCAUACUUUCAUUGGGGUCUAUCCGAAUCAUGCUUUAGUCAAGUCAUUGGACUAUGGUAAUUUAGCUCCGGAGACAUUUCCAAGUCUCUUUCAGAGGUUGGAUCUUGUUAUUCACCAACCCACGAUACCUCGGCUUGCACAGCAAACAUUUUCAGACCAUUCUACGAACUUACUUCUACUCAUUACUAGGACUGCAUCGUAGGGAUGUAGGUCAAACAUUCGCGAUCAUACUCCCAUUCCGUACUAGGACUGCAUCAUAGGGAUGUAGGUCAACCUUUCGAGAACAUACUCUUACUCUUUUCUUGAGCAAUCUAAGUACAUAUAGGGUCAACCUGAAUCGCUCACAAAUCCUUAUCUUUCGUGUUACAGAAUCAUGUCGUCAUCAGGAAACAAUCAACCGAACAACGAAAUCCCCAUCCUCCAUAUCGACACCGCUACUUUACAAGCUGCAGUAGCAGCUGCUGUGACAACUUUCCUUACACACAUCAACUCAGGCAACGCAAACAAGACUGAAAAAGGAGUCGAGAGUUUAGAUGGUAGUACCAAACCGGGAAACCAACAAACAGUAACAGUCACUGGCUCGCAAAGCCGAAAGACAGAGAACAAGAAACGAAAGCGUCGAGCCUAGAAGGAACACAAGAAAUCCCAAAAACUUGCUAUGCAACAUCAACAAGUGGAAACCCCUGCCAUCCCAGUACCGAGCAGGCCAUACGAGGGAAAACUCCCGAAGUGUGAUAGGUGUAGUUUCCAUCAUCAUGGGGCUUGCCAUGAGAUGCAGUGUUGCAAUUGCCAAAAAAUAGGACACCAUGCUCGUGGUUGUGGAGCACCGGCACGACCCAUCACUCAAGUCUCUUUCAUCGGGACUGACCCUGUACACAAGAUUAGUUUUAACUCCGAACGCUUUAAGAAGAAAUUUUCAAAGUGGAGUAACGAGGAAGGCACUCGUGUCCACAUAACAUUGGCUAAACACCGCAAUCCCGUCACCAAAGCUAGUACUAGCCAGUCAUGCCACCAAUGCGGUGAGAUAGGGCACUUCAAGAAGGAUUGCCCUAUAGCAAAGAACUCUGGUGCAGACGGGAAGAUUCUCAGGAUCACAGCUGCAGGUGAGCCUACUCUGGAACCCUCGUUAUUGUAACUUAGGCGUGUUGUUGUAACAGACUUAUAAACUAUCCAGAACUAGUGCAACUAGAGUCUUACCUUUUGCGAGAUCCUGUCUGUAUAGGGAUUCUCGUGCUGCAUAUACUUGUCUUUUGUAGUAUAUCUUAUUCGCAGCAAUGGACUUGUUAUAAAUCUAAAGUACUGUAACUCUAUUCAUGGUUGCACGGUUGUGUUUUGUCUGUAAACGUUUUAUGUUCAAAUCUAAUGUCUUUAAGUUUCUGUAUGAUUCCGACAUUAUCAUACAACUAGAUUCAAUUUGAUCGACACCAUACCAGCUUCAUACGUACAUCUCUUUCUUCUAGAUCGCCUUUCCAGCGAAGCCGUCAUNAAUUUGAUCCUCACAAAAACAGCUUCAUACGUACAUCUCUUUCUUCUAGAUCACUUUUCCAGCGAAGCCAUCAUAUCAGAACACCGAAGUACUCAUGCCAGGAGUACCUCUUAGUUAUUUUCUCUCCGAAGAAAUCCCCGAAGUACCACCCAUGCAGUGCGUCAAGUUUAAUCCAAGGAUUCAUGCGAUUGAACUAUCACUAAGGAAGGUAUACAUAAGAGUGAUAUAUAAUCAAGCUUCUACAGGUUUAGAAUUGAUGAUUCCACUUUAACUUCUUUUUCCCCGAUGGGAUGUGAGCUUAAAGAAGAAUCAGUUAUUCGACUACCUUUUCAACCUUAAUUAUAUGCGACUCGUAUACCCGAAAUUGUGAUUGUGAAACCAUGUAUGAAUUCUAAUAUGAACUUCAGGACGGAGAACUGCUUAAGCCUACAAGUAAUCACAUCAUCAUGUGAACAAACUUAGAACCCAGUACGACUCCCGUAAACAGAUCACCCUAUCGUUUAAACACCUACGGAGAUACAAGAAUAGUCCGGACAACUUAGAGAUCUACACGGAAAUAGAAUUAGAAGACUAGGUUUCUCACCCUAGAGAACCCCAGUCAUAUUCUUCUAGAGAUCGACGAAUCGCAUAGUAUGUACCUCGGUUAUCGUAUGUACCUCGGUUAUCGAGGACUCCGUCAAUAUUUUUCAUUAGAAAUCGUUAUCUCUGCCUCGCGUAGACGAAACGGUUGAGCAAACACAAGGAAAGAAACUACUUCCAGGAAUGGAUCUAAGAUCCGAAUAUCACCAGUUCGAGUGUUACGGAAAGAGGUCCGGAAGACUAUCUCCUGAACUCGAUGCGGACACUUCAAGUCCGUAGUGAUACCCUUCGGAUAGGACCAAUACGCCCAUAGUUUCAUGAGCUAAAUGAAUAGUGACACCAGGGACGCUGACAGUCAUUCGCCAAAUUCUAGGUCUUACAGACCUACUGUCAUAAUUCAUCCAGAACUCCUCGUAAAUCACAGAAACCCUUUCGACUCUGACCCAUCAAGGGAUGGUCCUUGAUUGAGAAGUUAAACAAGAAAAAGAAACCUUGGAGAUUCCAAGUGAGUGACCAAGUUCUUUAGGAGAACUCACUCUUGGAAUGGCUUAAUACGCUUCAUAUCGCGUGGAAAGCUAAAAUCCAAUAUAGUUAGGACCUCCGAGAUUCUUAUUAGAAUCGGUCCUAUGCCUCGCACAAACUAGACCUACUCCACGAACUCAGAAACGUACAUUCUACUCUUCGCUUCUCGACCGUGAAACCAUACCUUUCCGAUUAGGACUCUAGUAAGUCCACUCGUCGAGAUCCUCGCCUUCGUACUAGAACCGUAGUGACCCACGACCGAGAGGUCAAGCGGACGAAGCAUCACCACCGCCCGUUAGUGAAGGUUCGUUGGGAUACCAACCGGGAACCCGAUUGCACUUAGGAGCGCUAGAACCAAUUGAUUAGAAAGUUUCCUCCUCAUGACUCGAUCAUUAGUACCUACUUCCUUGUCUAAAUUCUAAUUUCGGGACAAAAUUCCCUUCAACGGGGGGAUGAUGUGACAACCCGAAAUUUCUAACUUGCAUUCUUCAGUUCUUAUCAACAAUAGACUUGUUUUGCUAUCUUGUAGUACCACUUAGGGUCUAUUGGAGUGUUCUAAACGUGUUAUAAUCAAGGUGGGAGUGUUAAAAAGGGUUAACUCGAAGUGUAAGAAUCAAAACCGGGCCAAACACUCCAACACAUGGAGUGUGCGGCUACACACUUGAGUGUGCGGCCACACACAUGUGUUUGUGGCCUCACACCCUUCCCAACCGCACACUCCACCUAUAUAUACCACACUUAGUCAUUUUUGAACACUUCUUUCACUUCUUCAAGCAUAGAACUCGAAAAUCCUCUCAAGUAUCAUCCGCUCUCCUUGAAGAUCUUCAUAAAAGGUACCAAGAACACCAUCUGGCUGCACACAUGGCAGCACACAUGGCCGCACACAUGUGCUGGCAGCACACAAGGCCGCACACCUGGCUGCACACACACAUAGAGUGUGUAUUUUGGCCAUACACUCCAUCGUAAAGCCUUAUAUCCCCUUCAUACAAUCAUAUAUGGUUGUAACACUUCAUUAUAAGUGUUUACUAGUCCCUAAGGUGGUCCCAAUUCAUUAAUUAGAUGUUCAUAACACUAAUUAUAUUCAUAUAUGUGUCAAUAUAUGCUAAAUAGGAUUCGCGUGUGUACUCAAGUCACCACUUGAUACUUAGCAACUGAUCCAAC
rnacentral:lncRNA from 1 species